GUCAUGUCAGCAGCACAGGUGCCAAAACUGGAACGAUACAGAGAAGAUCAGCAUGGCUCCUGCACAGGCACAUCACAGAAAUUCGUGGUAUUCCUCAUUUUUUU
ensembl:snRNA U6 U6 spliceosomal RNA